AGUGAACGCUGGCGGUAGGCCUAACACAUGCAAGUCGAACGGCAGCACAGUAAGAGCUUGCUCUUACGGGUGGCGAGUGGCGGACGGGUGAGGAAUACAUCGGAAUCUACUUUUUCGUGGGGGAUAACGUAGGGAAACUUACGUUAAUACCGCAUACGACCUACGGGUGAAAGCAGGGGAUCUUCGGACCUUGCGCGAUUGAAUUAGCCGAUGUCGGAUUAGCUAGUUGGCGGGGUAAAGGCCCACCAAGGCGACGAUCCGUAGCUGGUCUGAGAGGAUGAUCAGCCACACUGGAACUGAGACACGGUCCAGACUCCUACGGGAGGCAGCAGUGGGGAAUCUUGGACAAUGGGCGCAAGCCUGAUCCAGCCAUACCGCGUGAGUGAAGAAGGCCUUCGGGUUGUAAAGCCCUUUUGUUGGGAAAGAAAAGCAGCAGGUUAAUACGCCGCUGUUCUGACGGUACCCAAAGAAUAAGCACCGGCUAACUUCGUG
rnacentral:rRNA from 1 species